GACAGUGUCUGGUGGGUAGUUUGACUGGGGCGGUCUCCUCCUAAAGAGUAACGGAGGAGCACGAAGGUUGGCUAAUCCUGGUCGGACAUCAGGAGGUUAGUGCAAUGGCAUAAGCCAGCUUGACUGCGAGCGUGACGGCGCGAGCAGGUGCGAAAGCAGGUCAUAGUGAUCCGGUGGUUCUGAAUGGAAGGGCCAUCGCUCAACGGAUAAAAGGUACUCCGGGGAUAACAGGCUGAUACCGCCCAAGAGUUCAUAUCGACGGCGGUGUUUGGCACCUCGAUGUCGGCUCAUCACAUCCUGGGGCUGAAGUAGGUCCCAAGGGUAUGGCUGUUCGCCAUUUAAAGUGGUACGCGAGCUGGGUUUAGAACGUCGUGAGACAGUUCGGUCCCUAUCUGCCGUGGGCGCUGGAGAACUGAGGGGGGCUGCUCCUAGUACGAGAGGACCGGAGUGGACGCAUCACUGGUGUUCGGGUUGUCAUGCCAAUGGCACUGCCCGGUAGCUAAAUGCGGAAGAGAUAAGUGCUGAAAGCAUCUAAGCACGAAACUUGCCCCGAGAUGAGUUCUCCCUGAGACUUAG
rnacentral:rRNA from 1 species